GGCCUGUUUAAAUUAAUUGGUAGAGCAUUGGUUUUAUAAACCUAUAGUUAUGGGUUCAACUCCGUUAACAGGCCUCC
rnacentral:tRNA from 1 species